UCACAAAAUGUACAUGAGGUCUAGUCCAACCAAAAAGAGUUUCAAAUUUGAGUCUUAUAUGAAAUUUUUUUCCAUCACAUCCUAUGCUUCCUUAGCCUUUCUCGUUAUAAUUUUUGUCGGGCUUAGUGGCCACUGAAAGUUGUCCUCAUGAAUAUCAUGGUUGCUCCAAUACCAUAAUAGACAGAUGGUAAACAUAAAUAUAAUAGACCAAGGAACACCAUUGAUAUUUGCACUGCUUGUGAUAAUUAUCAUUAGCCAAGCAUUUAAAAGCAAUAUGAAAAAAUCAUCUUUGUUGCUAGGAAGUAGUAUGCACCAAAUAUCCUUCAAUUGUUGGCAAUCUCUCAAACCAUGUCAGAUAUCUUCUCUACUUCUAGAGCCUCUAUGGCAAGUUUCACUAACUGAUAAGUGCCGGGGCAACUAAGAAUGCUUUUGUACAAAUAGUUUCAUGCAUGAUUUUCCAAACGAAUACCUUCAACUUACUAGGGCACUUCAAAGAACAAAUUUUACAUAGUCCUUAUUAGGAAAAACGUUUAGAAUCUACAAUUCAUAGGCAGACUUUACCGAAAAUUGACCAUCAAAAGUCCUCGACUAGAAAAUUGAAUAUCAACGGUGCUGUGAUGAUAGAUCCAUUUAGUUGUUAAAAUGAAAAUAAUUUCCUCUGAUGAAACAUUGGAUAAAGCAGUAAAGCCCCACUACCAUCCUUUAAACAAUAGUCUACAACAGGUAGUUUUGCUUCAACAACAGUAAUGGUCUGUAUAGCACAGAAUAGCAAGGUAUUACAAGAAAGCCAAUGAUCUAACCAAAACUUUGUAUUUCUCUCACUGGACACAUUCAUUCUCAAACCUUGUCAAAGAACAUUCCUACCCUUUGAAAUGCUUCUCCAAGUGUAAGAUGAAACACUUCUCAAACUAACUAAAAGAAAGUCAAUUCGUUUUAUAUACUUGGCUUCCAAAACUUCAUCGCAAAGCAUAUCAAAGUCAUUCAUAAUAAGCCAUCCUAGCUUCGCCAAAUAAGCAAGAUUGGCUUUCCUAGUGUCCUUUAUAUUCAAACCUUCAUGCUUCUUGGGCAAGCAAAUCUUUUCUCAAUUCACUAUUUAGCUUUUUUACCCCAUCCAUCUCUCCCCAAACAAAUUUGCGCAUUAGCUUGUCUAUUUCAUCAACAAUAUAGUACGACAGAUAAGUUGUUUGCAUCAAAUAACUUGGCAUUGUAGAAAGUAUCGACUGCACCAGAGUAAGUUCACCUGCUAAGGAUAAACUUUUGUUCUCUCAUACUAAUAGGUGUCCUUGAAUUUUGCCGAUGAUAUCUUCAUAUGUCAUCUUGGUGACUUGACCAUGAAUCAGAGGUGCUCCCAAAUAUUUUCCAAAGUCCUUGGUUAGAUGAAUUUGACAAAAGUUGCUAAGUUUCGUUGCUUGAUCAUGGGAUAUAUUUGAAGAUACUAGAAGCCUUGAUUUGCUGAGGCUUACCUUCUCUCUAGAGUUAUCACAAAAUACUUUCAUAACAUUCAUCAUUACCUCUACCUGCUUUUGAGUAGCAACUCCAAAUAACAUUAAAUCAUCCAUGAAACAGAUAUGUGUAAGAACAAAUCCAUGCCUAGUAAUCAUGAAUAGUUUUCAACUUCCUUUCUUCACCUCAUUAUUAAUCCAAUGAGACAACUUCUCCAAACACAAGACAAAUAAGUAAGGUGAGAGUUCUCCAUGAUGUAUUCCCCUCGUUGGAUUGAAAUAAGGAAGACACUUUCUAUUCUAUAAAACUGCAAAAGAAGUAGAUUUCACCAUGAACAUUAUAAGUGUCACCCAUGAAUCAAGAAGACCGAUUUCCUCAAGAACUGACUGUAAAAGUGUCUAUUUCAAUUUAUCAUAAGCCUUCUCCAAGUCUAUUUUAAUAGCAACAACCCUUUUUUUACGCUUCAAAGUUCUCAUUGAGUGCAAAAUUUCUUGAACUACAAUAAUAUUAUCAAUUGUGUGCCUCCUAGGAACAAAGCUUGAUUGUGUUUUACCAAUGAGUCUAGUCAGUAGAGGUCUUAUUCUCUCGACUAAGACUUUGCUUACUAGUUCUAAUGAAAUUGAACACAAACUAAUAGGAUAAAUUGGCUAAUAUAUCCCGGCCCCUCCACCUUAGGAAUCAAGGUAAUUGACGUCCUAUCGAGUUCACCUUUCUUCAAAGCUUCAGUAACAUUGAGUGUCAAAUACCUUUCAACCACAUUCCAAGCUUUUUUUGGGAGGAGGGGGAGGAGGAGGGGGAAACAAAAGCAGGAUAACCAUCAACCCUAGAACUUUUAUUAGGAUUUAUUGUGUAAAGUGCCAUUUUAACUUCAGCAGUCGAAACCUCUUUGCUUAACAUUAUGCAUUAUUGAUCAUUCAAACUCCAAUUUUCUUCAAGCUUUAGUGAAUAAGUGUUGAUCACUAAAUCAUCUUUAUAAAGUUGAAAAACCCCACAACUAUAUUUUUUAAAUCCCCCACAUCCUCACACCAAGUGUCCUUAUCUUUCUUCAUCAUUAAAAUGCUUUUCCUAUAUUCCCUGCCUCAAAGAACAUUAUGAAAAAAAUUUGUGUUGCUAUCUCCCAAUUUGAGUCAAUCCACUUGUGUUUUUUUCCUCAACAAAGUCUCCUCUUGAAAACAGACCAAGUUAUAUUUUUCUACCAAUAUAACUUUGAAGUUUUUUAAAAAGUUGUUGGAUCCAUUAUCUAAUCGUUUCUGAAUCCCAUUCAACCUUGCAAGAAGUCUUCUCCUUUUCAUAUAAAUAUCUCCAAACUCCUUUUUACUCUAGAUUUUCAAAGAAUUUCCAAGAGAAUUCGAAGUUGAGGACAUAUCAUCAUUCCUGUAAUGUCAAUUCCGUUUCACCUUUUCCAAAAAAUCGUUAUGUAACAUCCAUGCA
rnacentral:lncRNA from 1 species